UUAGCUAGUUGGUAAGGUAACGGCUUACCAAGGCGAUGAUGCAUAGCCGAGUUGAGAGACUGAUCGGCCACAAUGGAACUGAGACACGGUCCAUACUCCUACGGGAGGCAGCAGUAGGGAAUCUUCCACAAUGGGCGCAAGCCUGAUGGAGCAACACCGCGUGAGUGAAGAAGGGUUUCGGCUCGUAAAGCUCUGUUGUUGGAGAAGAACGUGCGUGAGAGUAACUGUUCACGCAGUGACGGUAUCCAACCAGAAAGUCACGGCUAACUACGUGCCAGCAGCCGCGGUAAUACGUAGGUGGCAAGCGUUAUCCGGAUUUAUUGGGCGUAAAGCGAGCGCAGGCGGUUGCUUAGGUCUGAUGUGAAAGCCUUCGGCUUAACCGAAGAAGUGCAUCGGAAACCGGGCGACUUGAGUGCAGAAGAGGACAGUGGAACUCCAUGUGUAGCGGUGGAAUGCGUAGAUAUAUGGAAGAACACCAGUGGCGAAGGCGGCUGUCUGGUCUGCAACUGACGCUGAGGCUCGAAAGCAUGGGUAGCGAACAGGAUUAGAUACCCUGGUAGUCCAUGCCGUAAACGAUGAGUGCUAGGUGUUGGAGGGUUUCCGCCCUUCA
rnacentral:rRNA from 1 species